rnacentral:lncRNA from 1 species
UCUUGUCCAUCACUUCCUCAAAUUCCAGUGCAACUGCAUCAAACACCAUGUUCCAGAGCAAAGUCAGCUCCUUUGAGGACAACCUUCUAGGAGGGAUUGCUAUGUAACAGCAGAGCAGAUUACAAAUUCCGGCCCGUUAUGAAAGGUAACAUCUGAACAGGUGAGUCUGUCUCCUGAUCCCACUUGGGACAAGCUGAAAUGCUACUGGA